rnacentral:pre_miRNA from 1 species
UCUUAUGGAUGAGCAAAGAAAGUGAUUUCAUGAGAUGGAGUCUACUCCUGGUGAAUAUGCUGUGAA